UUCUUGGUGGUCCAGUGGCUAAGAUACCACACUCCCAAUGCAGGGGGUCUAGGUUCGAUUCCUGGUCAGGGAA
rnacentral:tRNA from 1 species